rnacentral:lncRNA from 1 species
GUUUCCCCUCCUUGUGCUUUUCUCUCGUGUGCCAUGUGAAGAACCUUGCUUCCUCUUUGCCUUCCACCAUGAUUACUCUUACCAGUUGUUUUAAUUGCUAAGACAACCCAGUUCUGCAUGAGCUACAGCCAACUUCACAAAGACUCUUCAGAGGUUCCUGCUGGGCCUCCCACUGCUCCAGUGCUUUUGAUGAAGCUAGACUAUUCCCUGCAGCAGUUCCUUUUCCCAUGUUUUGGCCUCUGAGGAUCAACAGUACAGCUCUAUCUUCUUUUUGAUGAGAUCUUUAGUCUCUCUUGCUUCAGGUGCCUGGAUGUUGAGGGGCAAAUAGGACUGUUCACUGAAGGAGCUAGAGAAUGGAAGAGAAGGUUGUGUCAGAUAGAAAUAACAGAAGCUUUCUGAAAUGAAAACAGAAAUGUUACAACUUGCACCACAGUACUGGACUGAAACGAAGAUGUAACACAGCCAUAAUAAUUUAAAUUAAUAGCAAAUAAAUAAAGAAAAAAAGAACUUCAUUGUGAGGACCAUAGUCAUGGGAUAGCUCUGUCUUUUCGGGGAAAGUGGAGUAGAGGGACAGAGUCACCCCAGGAGAAAAAAUGCUUAAAUUAAGACUCCCUGAGAGACUGAAUAAGAGUAUGAUUAGUUCAGCCUUGCUUUCAUCCUCCACUUCCCCCUCCCACUGUAGACUUCAGUUUUAAUAAUGAUUAAAGAAUAAUGCCUGAAUCCC